UACGUAGGCAGCAAGCGUUGUUCGGAGUUACUGGGCGUAAAGGGUGUGUAGGCGGUUGUUUAAGUUUGGUGUGAAAUCUCCCGGCUCAACUGGGAGGGUGCGCCGAAUACUGAAUGACUAGAGUGCGGGAGAGGAAAGUGGAAUUCCUGGUGUAGCGGUGAAAUGCGUAGAUAUCAUUUGGAACGCCAACGGCGAAAGCAGGCAGCUGGGGAUGCACCGACGCUGAGACACGAAAGCCAGGGGAGCGAACGGG
rnacentral:rRNA from 1 species